rnacentral:rRNA from 1 species
CCUACGGGAGGCAGCAGUGAGGAAUAUUGGUCAAUGGACGCAAGUCUGAACCAGCCAUGCCGCGUGAAGGAUGACGGCUCUAUGAGUUGUAAACUGCUUUUGUACGGGGGUAAAGCCCGAUACGUGUAUCGGGUUGAAAGUACCUUACGAAUAAGGAUCGGCUAACUCCGUGCCAGCAGCCGCGGUAAUACGGAGGAUCCGAGCGUUAUCCGGAUUUAUUGGGUUUAAAGGGUGCGUAGGCGGUUUGAUAAGUCAGAGGUGAAAUGUCGGGGCUCAACCCCGAAACUGCAUCUGAUACUGGUGGACUUGAGGACAGUUGAGGUAGGCGGAAUGCAUGGUGUAGCGGUGAAAUGCUUAGAGAUCAUGAAGAACACCGAUUGCGAAGGCAGCUUACCAAACUACAACUGACGUUGAGGCACGAAAGCGUGGGUAGCAAACAGGAUUAGAUACCCCAGUAGUC